AUGACAGCUGAGGGCUUAAGUCUUAACUUUUUUUUUUUAAUUUGUGACAAGCAUAGCCUUUUGGAAGAAGACUUGCACUCUCCUGAGCUCAGCCAACAGCUUCCCCUUCCUGGCAGGCAGAGGACAGCGGAAGUCACAGGCUCGGAUCCAGCUGGGCUUUUACAGGCUGCAUCAUCACAGCUGUGUUAUUCUUACUUUAUAGCCCAGUUUCCUCAUCUGAGAAACCAGAAGAGGCACACCCGUGCCACGGAUCACAACGGCCGAGGCUCUGCAGCUCGCAGAUGGGAAGGGGGCUUUCCUAGGCAUCACGUGUGGGGCUGGAAGAAGGAAGGAGCCGCAGAAGCCACUACCUAAGCUUCUGCUGGGAUGCACAGAGGGUACGGUGUGGCCCCGGUGGGUAAGCCGUCCCACUGAAGACCAGUCUUCCUCUCUGGUGGGAUUUUCUUGAGCAGGGUGACCACUAACUCCUCACCCGCCUUGUCAUGGGGAGGGGCCUACACGCACCUGCUUACAGACCUAUUCUGUGGAGCAUCACCACCUCUCCAUCUUCCGGCACGUGCGCUGCAGAGAAGACGUCCUUCCUUCUGCCCGGAGAAAGGAGCAGCAGGCCUCCCGUCUCCUGCCUGCACUGGACUGCCGCAGAUGUAGAUGAAGGGUAGCCACAGAGGCAGCGGUCUGAGGUCGGGAGUUAACGUCCUGCACCCUCAGUCCACCCGGGGAACAAAAUCCUAGGCAGGGUGGAAUGCUUGUGUUCACAUUCCGGAAGUGCAGUUUCUCAUUUCACAUUCUGACCCCUCUGCUCCUUUUCUUUCCGAUCACAUCCCUCUCAUCCCCAGAGAGCCACCCUCCGUUACUCCACUGUGAGCAUUGGGGAUGGGACUUCCCAGAGAGCAGAUUUGAAACAAACCAUUUUCAUUUCACUCCUGCUUUGGCUGCUCUCACACCAGCCCCUUGAUGCAAAACUGAGUGUUCUAAAGCCUGAGCUAAGUGUCUGUGCAAAGAGAGCCCUUCUUUUGUUAGCAGCGGAGACUGGACUUGCUCCUGCAGGCCGUUCGAGCCAACACACCUGCUAUCCGGCUUCCGGGCAGCUCUGACAGCCACAGGUCUCUGCUCGUGCUCAUUGGCCAAUAGAAAGCAAAAAUGAACACAAAUAUCCUAGGCUACCCCUGCGGACCCCCAAACUAGGGUGAUUUCUGAAGUCUGACCUCACAUUUAAGUUCAGAAUGCUAAGGCUAUGGCUUCUACCUUCAUGUUCCAAACAAGCGGACCAACAUUCACGGCC
rnacentral:lncRNA from 1 species